GAUUGACUUGGAGCCAGAGGGGAAGGUGUACGUGGUCAUUGAUCUGUCUGGAUCCUCCACUGAAGCUUCAGGAACCAAUGACAAUGAGGAGCGAGUGUUUCGAGAAAGGAUCGGUCCUCGCCGGCGACAGGGCGCCGUCCGAAGACGCGUCCAUCAAGUCAAUGGACACAAGUUCAUGGCCACCUACCUGAGACAACCCACCUACUGCUCACACUGCAGAGAUUUUAUCUGGGGCGUGCUGGGGAAGCAGGGAUACCAGUGUCAGGUGUGUACGUGUGUCGUCCACAAGCGCUGCCAUGAGCUCAUCAUCACCAAGUGUGCCGGGAUGAAGAAGCAGGAGGACACACCGGACGAGGUGGGUUCACAGCGGUUCAGUGUUAACAUGCCUCAUAAGUUCAGUAUA